ensembl:miRNA
GCUGCUGUUGGGAGACCCUGGUCUGCACUCUAUCUGUAUGCUUACUGAAGGGAGUGCAGGGCAGGGUUUCCCAUACAGGGGGC